rnacentral:rRNA from 1 species
UACGUAGGGUCCGAGCGUUGUCCGGAUUUAUUGGGCGUAAAGAGCUCGUAGGCGGUUCCGUAAGUCAGAUGUGAAAACUCAGGGCUCAACCCGGAGACGCCAUCUGAUACUGCGGUGACUGGAGUCUGGUAGGGGAACACGGAAUUCCUGGUGUAGCGGUGAAAUGCGUAGAUAUCGGAAGGAACAUCAGUGGCGAAAGCGACUUCCUGGACCAAUACUGACGCUCAUGUGCGAAAGCGUGGGGAGCAAACAGG